GCAAGUCGAACGGAAAGGCCCUUCGGGGUACUCGAGUGGCGAACGGGUGAGUAACACGUGGGUGAUCUGCCCUGCACUUUGGGAUAAGCCUGGGAAACUGGGUCUAAUACCGAAUAUGACCACGCGCUUCAUGGUGUGUGGUGGAAAGCUUUUGCGGUGUGGGAUGGGCCCGCGGCCUAUCAGCUUGUUGGUGGGGUAAUGGCCUACCAAGGCGACGACGGGUAGCCGGCCUGAGAGGGUGACCGGCCACACUGGGACUGAGAUACGGCCCAGACUCCUACGGGAGGCAGCAGUGGGGAAUAUUGCACAAUGGGCGCAAGCCUGAUGCAGCGACGCCGCGUGAGGGAUGACGGCCUUCGGGUUGUAAACCUCUUUCAAUAGGGACGAAGCGCAAGUGACGGUACCUAUAGAAGAAGGACCGGCCAACUACGUGCCAGCAGCCGCGGUAAUACGUAGGGUCCGAGCGUUGUCCGGAAUUACUGGGCGUAAAGAGCUCGUAGGUGGUUUGUCGCGUUGUUCGUGAAAACUCACAGCUUAACUGUGGGCGUGCGGGCGAUACGGGCAGACUAGAGUACUGCAGGGGAGACUGGAAUUCCUGGUGUAGCGGUGGAAUGCGCAGAUAUCAGGAGGAACACCGGUGGCGAAGGCGGGUCUCUGGGCAGUAACUGACGCUGAGGAGCGAAAGCGUGGGGAGCGAACAGGAUUAGAUACCCUGGUAGUCCACGCCGUAAACGGUGGGUACUAGGUGUGGGUUUCCUUCCUUGGGAUCCGUGCCGUAGCUAACGCAUUAAGUACCCCGCCUGGGGAGUACGGCCGCAAGGCUAAAACUCAAAGGAAUUGACGGGGGCCCGCACAAGCGGCGGAGCAUGUGGAUUAAUUCGAUGCAACGCGAAGAACCUUACCUGGGUUU
rnacentral:rRNA from 1 species